rnacentral:rRNA from 1 species
UUAUUAAAAUUUAUAGUUCUGUGUUUAAGUUAUAUAGCAUAAAAAUGCAUAUGUGCCACAAUAAUCUUUAUAGAAAUGUUUUUAAAAUUCUGACUAAAGGAACUCGGCAAAAUUAAGCCUCGCCUGUUUAGCAAAAACAUCACUGAGAGAUUAUAACUCUUAGCAAUGCCUGCCCAGUGCGAUUAACUUCGUAAACGGCCGCCCUAGCGUGAGGGUGCUAAGGUAGCGAAAUUCCUUGCCUUUUAAUUGUAGGCCUGCAUGAAUGGCUCGACGAGGGUUUAACUGUCUCUAGUCUUAUAUUUUAAAUUGGAUUAAAGGUGAAGAUACCUUUAUAAAAAAGUCAGACAAGAAGACCCCGUGCAACUUUUAAAAUCAGCUUAUUAAGAAAUCUUAGAUUUUUAGGUGGGGCGCCUAUUAAGUAAGUGUAACCUUUUUAACUACAAAAACUCUCAGGUAUAGACCCGGUAAUUACCGAUCAUAGGAGAAGUUACGCCGGGGAUAACAGGCUAAUCCAUUAGUAGAGAACGUAUUGGCAGAAAGGUUUGGCACCUCGAUGUUGGCUUAGGAUAUCCUAAGGGCGCAGAAGCCUUUUAAGGUGGGUUUGUUCAACCUUUAAAAUCCUACAUGAGCUGAGUUCAGACCGGCGAAAGCCAGGUCAGUUUCUAUCUUUAAUUUAAUCUUUAGCCAAUAGUACGAAAGGACCUUGAGCUAAAAAACUCUUUUUCUUCCAUGAAACCAAUUAAGCAAAAUUAAAUACAAUCUAAAGUAAUACAGAUUUAC